rnacentral:rRNA from 1 species
GACGAACGCUGGCGGCGUGCUUAACACAUGCAAGUCGAACGAAGAGCGACGGAAGCUUGCUUCUAUCAAUCUUAGUGGCGAACGGUUGAGUAACGCGUAAUCAACCUGCCCUUCAGAGGGGGACAACAGUUGGAAACGACUGCUAAUACCGCAUACGAUCUAACCUCGGCAUCGAGGAUAGAUGAAAGGUGGCCUCUACAUGUAAGCUAUCACUGAAGGAGGGGAUUGCGUCUGAUUAGCUAGUUGGAGGGGUAACGGCCCACCAAGGCGAUGAUCAGUAGCCGGUCUGAGAGGAUGAACGGCCACAUUGGGACUGAGACACGGCCCAGACUCCUACGGGAGGCAGCAGUGGGGAAUCUUCCGCAAUGGACGAAAGUCUGACGGAGCAACGCCGCGUGAGUGAUGACGGCCUUCGGGUUGUAAAGCUCUGUUAAUCGGGACGAAAGGCCUUCUUGCGAAUAGUGAGAAGGAUUGACGGUACCGGAAUAGAAAGCCACGGCUAACUACGUG